GGGUUGUGAGGUUAAGCGACUAAGCGUACACGGUGGAUGCCCUGGCAGUCAGAGGCGAUGAAGGACGUGCUAAUCUGCGAUAAGCGUCGGUAAGGUGAUAUGAACCGUUAUAACCGGCGAUUUCCGAAUGGGGAAACCCAGUGUGAUUCGUCACACUAUCAUUAACUGAAUCCAUAGGUUAAUGAGGCGAACCGGGGGAACUGAAACAUCUAAGUACCCCGAGGAAAAGAAAUCAACCGAGAUUCCCCCAGUAGCGGCGAGCGAACGGGGAGGAGCCCAGAGCCUGAAUCAGUGUGUGUGUUAGUGGAAGCGUCUGGAAAGGCGCGCGAUACAGGGUGACAGCCCCGUACACAAAAAUGCACAUGCUGUGAGCUCGAUGAGUAGGGCGGGACACGUGGUAUCCUGUCUGAAUAUGGGGGGACCAUCCUCCAAGGCUAAAUACUCCUGACUGACCGAUAGUGAACCAGUACCGUGAGGGAAAGGCGAAAAGAACCCCGGCGAGGGGAGUGAAAAAGAACCUGAAACCGUGUACGUACAAGCAGUGGGAGCACGCUUCGGCGUGUGACUGCGUACCUUUUGUAUAAUGGGUCAGCGACUUAUAUUCUGUAGCAAGGUUAACCGAAUAGGGGAGCCGAAGGGAAACCGAGUCUUAACUGGGCGUUAAGUUGCAGGGUAUAGACCCGAAACCCGGUGAUCUAGCCAUGGGCAGGUUGAAGGUUGGGUAACACUAACUGGAGGACCGAACCGACUAAUGUUGAAAAAUUAGCGGAUGACUUGUGGCUGGGGGUGAAAGGCCAAUCAAACCGGGAGAUAGCUGGUUCUCCCCGAAAGCUAUUUAGGUAGCGCCUCGUGAAUUCAUCUCCGGGGGUAGAGCACUGUUUCGGCAAGGGGGUCAUCCCGACUUACCAACCCGAUGCAAACUGCGAAUACCGGAGAAUGUUAUCACGGGAGACACACGGCGGGUGCUAACGUCCGUCGUGAAGAGGGAAACAACCCAGACCGCCAGCUAAGGUCCCAAAGUCAUGGUUAAGUGGGAAACGAUGUGGGAAGGCCCAGACAGCCAGGAUGUUGGCUUAGAAGCAGCCAUCAUUUAAAGAAAGCGUAAUAGCUCACUGGUCGAGUCGGCCUGCGCGGAAGAUGUAACGGGGCUAAACCAUGCACCGAAGCUGCGGCAGCGACACUAUGUGUUGUUGGGUAGGGGAGCGUUCUGUAAGCCUGCGAAGGUGGCCUGUGAGGGUUGCUGGAGGUAUCAGAAGUGCGAAUGCUGACAUAAGUAACGAUAAAGCGGGUGAAAAGCCCGCUCGCCGGAAGACCAAGGGUUCCUGUCCAACGUUAAUCGGGGCAGGGUGAGUCGACCCCUAAGGCGAGGCCGAAAGGCGUAGUCGAUGGGAAACAGGUUAAUAUUCCUGUACUUGGUGUUACUGCGAAGGGGGGACGGAGAAGGCUAUGUUGGCCGGGCGACGGUUGUCCCGGUUUAAGCGUGUAGGCUGGUUUUCCAGGCAAAUCCGGAAAAUCAAGGCUGAGGCGUGAUGACGAGGCACUACGGUGCUGAAGCAACAAAUGCCCUGCUUCCAGGAAAAGCCUCUAAGCAUCAGGUAACAUCAAAUCGUACCCCAAACCGACACAGGUGGUCAGGUAGAGAAUACCAAGGCGCUUGAGAGAACUCGGGUGAAGGAACUAGGCAAAAUGGUGCCGUAACUUCGGGAGAAGGCACGCUGAUAUGUAGGUGAAGCGACUUGCUCGUGGAGCUGAAAUCAGUCGAAGAUACCAGCUGGCUGCAACUGUUUAUUAAAAACACAGCACUGUGCAAACACGAAAGUGGACGUAUACGGUGUGACGCCUGCCCGGUGCCGGAAGGUUAAUUGAUGGGGUCAGCGGUAACGCGAAGCUCUUGAUCGAAGCCCCGGUAAACGGCGGCCGUAACUAUAACGGUCCUAAGGUAGCGAAAUUCCUUGUCGGGUAAGUUCCGACCUGCACGAAUGGCGUAAUGAUGGCCAGGCUGUCUCCACCCGAGACUCAGUGAAAUUGAACUCGCUGUGAAGAUGCAGUGUACCCGCGGCAAGACGGAAAGACCCCGUGAACCUUUACUAUAGCUUGACACUGAACAUUGAGCCUUGAUGUGUAGGAUAGGUGGGAGGCUUUGAAGUGUGGACGCCAGUCUGCAUGGAGCCGACCUUGAAAUACCACCCUUUAAUGUUUGAUGUUCUAACGUUGGCCCCUGAUCGGGGUUGCGGACAGUGUCUGGUGGGUAGUUUGACUGGGGCGGUCUCCUCCUAAAGAGUAACGGAGGAGCACGAAGGUUGGCUAAUCCUGGUCGGACAUCAGGAGGUUAGUGCAAUGGCAUAAGCCAGCUUGACUGCGAGCGUGACGGCGCGAGCAGGUGCGAAAGCAGGUCAUAGUGAUCCGGUGGUUCUGAAUGGAAGGGCCAUCGCUCAACGGAUAAAAGGUACUCCGGGGAUAACAGGCUGAUACCGCCCAAGAGUUCAUAUCGACGGCGGUGUUUGGCACCUCGAUGUCGGCUCAUCACAUCCUGGGGCUGAAGUAGGUCCCAAGGGUAUGGCUGUUCGCCAUUUAAAGUGGUACGCGAGCUGGGUUUAGAACGUCGUGAGACAGUUCGGUCCCUAUCUGCCGUGGGCGCUGGAGAACUGAGGGGGGCUGCUCCUAGUACGAGAGGACCGGAGUGGACGCAUCACUGGUGUUCGGGUUGUCAUGCCAAUGGCACUGCCCGGUAGCUAAAUGCGGAAGAGAUAAGUGCUGAAAGCAUCUAAGCACGAAACUUGCCCCGAGAUGAGUUCUCCCUGACUCCCUGAGAGUCCUGAAGGAACGUUGAAGACGACGACGUUGAUAGGCCGGGUGUGUAAGCGCAGCGAUGCGUUGAGCUAACCGGUACUAAUGAACCGUGAGGCUUAACCUUACAACGCCGAAGGUGUUU
rnacentral:rRNA from 1 species